rnacentral:tRNA from 1 species
GCCAGGGUGGCGAAAUCGGUAGACGCAGCGGACUUAAACUCCGCCGGCCUCUAACAGGGCCGUACGGGUUCGAUCCCCGUUCCUGGCACCA